AUUGGAAGUAAAAGUCGUAACAAGGUUUCCGUAGGUGAACCUGCGGAAGGAUCAUUAUUGAAUAAACCUGAUGUGACUGUUAGCUGGCUUUUCGAAGCAUGUGCUCGUCCAUCAUCUUUAAUCUCUCCACCUGUGCACAUUUUGUAGUCUUGGAUACCUCUCGAGGCAACUCGGAUUUUAGGAUCGCCGUGCAGCUUUCCUCUCAUUUCCAAGACUAUGUUUUUAUAUACACCAAAGUAUGUUUAAAGAAUGUCAUCAAUAGGAACUUGUUUCCUAUAAAAUUAUACAACUUUCAGCAACGGAUCUCUUGGCUCUCGCAUCGAUGAAGAACGCAGCGAAAUGCGAUAAGUAAUGUGAAUUGCAGAAUUCAGUGAAUCAUCGAAUCUUUGAACGCACCUUGCGCUCCUUGGUAUUCCGAGGAGCAUGCCUGUUUGAGUGUCAUUAAAUUCUCAACCUUCCAGCUUUUAUUGGCUUGGUUAGGCUUGGAUGUGGGGGUUGUGGGCUUCAUUAAUGAGGUCAGCUCUCCUUAAAUGCAUUAGCGGAACUUUUGUGGACCGUCUAUUGGUGUGAUAAUUAUCUACGCCGUGGAUGUGAAGCAGCUUUAUGAAGUUCAGCUUCUAAUCGUCCAUUGACUUGGACAAUUUUUGACAGUUGACCUCAAAUCAGUAG
rnacentral:rRNA from 1 species